rnacentral:rRNA from 1 species
AGAGUUUGAUCCUGGCUCAGGAUGAACGCUGACAGAAUGCUUAACACAUGCAAGUCAACUUGAACUUCGGUUUGGGUGGCGGACGGGUGAGUAACGCGUAAAGAACUUGCCUCACAGCUAGGGACAACAUUUGGAAACGAAUGCUAAUACCUGAUAUUAUGAUUAUAUGGCAUCGUAUAAUUAUGAAAGCUAUAUGCGCUGUGAGAGAGCUUUGCGUCCCAUUAGCUAGUUGGAGAGGUAACGGCUCACCAAGGCGAUGAUGGGUAGCCGGCCUGAGAGGGUGAUCGGCCACAAGGGGACUGAGACACGGCCCUUACUCCUACGGGAGGCAGCAGUGGGGAAUAUUGGACAAUGGACCAAGAGUCUGAUCCAGCAAUUCUGUGUGCACGAUGAAGUUUUUCGGAAUGUAAAGUGCUUUCAGUUGGGAAGAAAAAAAUGACGGUACCAACAGAAGAAGUGACGGCUAAAUACGUGCCAGCAGCCGCGGUAAUACGUAUGUCACAAGCGUUAUCCGGAUUUAUUGGGCGUAAAGCGCGUCUAGGUGGUUAUGUAAGUCUGAUGUGAAAAUGCAGGGCUCAACUCUGUAUUGCGUUGGAAACUGUGUAACUAGAGUACUGGAGAGGUAAGCGGAACUACAAGUGUAGAGGUGAAAUUCGUAGAUAUUUGUAGGAAUGCCGAUGGGGAAGCCAGCUUACUGGACAGAUACUGACGCUGAAGCGCGAAAGCGUGGGUAGCAAACAGGAUUAGAUACCCUGGUAGUCCACGCCGUAAACGAUGAGUGCUAAGUGUUGGAGGGUUUCCGCCCUUCAGUGCUGCAGUUAACGCAUUAAGCACUCCGCCUGGGGAGUACGACCGCAAGGUUGAAACUCAAAGGAAUUGACGGGGACCCGCACAAGCGGUGGAGCAUGUGGUUUAAUUCGAAGCAACGCGAAGAACCUUACCAGGUCUUGACAUCCCUCUGACCGCUCUAGAGAUAGAGUUUUCCUUCGGGACAGAGGUGACAGGUGGUGCAUGGUUGUCGUCAGCUCGUGUCGUGAGAUGUUGGGUUAAGUCCCGCAACGAGCGCAACCCUUAUUACUAGUUGCCAGCAUUCAGUUGGGCACUCUAGUGAGACUGCCGGUGACAAACCGGAGGAAGGUGGGGAUGACGUCAAAUCAUCAUGCCCCUUAUGACUUGGGCUACACACGUGCUACAAUGGAUGGUACAACGAGCAGCGAACUCGCGAGGGUAAGCGAAUCUCUUAAAGCCAUUCUCAGUUCGGAUUGUAGGCUGCAACUCGCCUACAUGAAGCCGGAAUCGCUAGUAAUCGCGGAUCAGCACGCCGCGGUGAAUACGUUCCCGGGUCUUGUACACACCGCCCGUCACACCACGAGAGUUUGUAACACCCAAAGUCGGUGAGGUAACCUUUUGGAGCCAGCCGCCUAAGGUGGGAUAGAUGAUUGGGGUGAAGUCGUAACAAGGUAGCCGUAUCGGAAGGUGCGGCUG